UACCAGCACCCCGAGUGGUCGGGACGAUUAUUGGGCCUAAAGCAUCCGUAGCCGGUUUUACAAGUCCUCCGUUAAAUCCAACUGCUUAACAGAUGGGCCGCGGAGGAUACUAUAAGACUAGGAGGCAGGAGAGGCAAGCGGUACUCAGUGGGUAGGGGUAAAAUCCGUUGAUCCAUUGAAGACCACCAGUGGCGAAGGCGGCUUGCCAGAAUGCGCUCGACGGUGAGGGAUGAAAGCUGGGGGAGCAAGCCGG
rnacentral:rRNA from 1 species